AGAGUUUGAUCAUGGCUCAGAACGAACGCUGGCGGCAGGCCUAACACAUGCAAGUCGAACGAUAAGCCACCUUCGGGUGGUGGACAGUGGCAGACGGGUGAGUAACGCGUGGGAACGUGCCUUUCGGUUCGGAAUAACCCAGGGAAACUUGGGCUAAUACCGGAUACGCCCUUCGGGGGAAAGAUUCAUUGCCGAAAGAUCGGCCCGCGUCGGAUUAGCUAGUUGGUGGGGUAAUGGCUCACCAAGGCGACGAUCCGUAGCUGGUCUGAGAGGAUGACCAGCCACACUGGGACUGAGACACGGCCCAGACUCCUACGGGAGGCAGCAGUGGGGAAUAUUGGACAAUGGGCGAAAGCCUGAUCCAGCCAUGCCGCGUGGGUGAAGAAGGCCUUAGGGUUGUAAACCCCUUUCAGCGGGGAAGAUAAUGACGUACCCGCAGAAGA
rnacentral:rRNA from 1 species